GGGUCAGGGGGCUGAGGAUGGAUAUCUGGAUGCUGCAGCACUCUGGGGAGAGCAGGGAGCAGCAGCCUCUCCAAGAAGCCUCUAAAGCACUGUACUCCCAUCUCCAGAAAUCACCACUGCAAUUAUCCUGCUUGCCAGCAUCCUUGGAGGCAGAUACCAAAGGCACAGGAAUAAACUACAGAUUUAGGCUUUCCUCCUUGCCAUGUCUUUGGGAACUGGUAGACAGCAAGAAAUCAUCUUCUGAGUACAGAAUAGUCUGCUUCUGCUCCUUUCCAUUGUUCUGUGCUGCUGGAACCACUAAGACUCAGCCAACUGCCUUCUGUACCUCUCCAAUCUGACCCUUCUAUUUCUGUGCUGAUUUCUAUCCAAGAUUGUUUAAGCCCCCUAAAAAAACUACUACUGCUGCAAAGGAUUUCAUGGCCUGGCAAAAUAUCUGUAUCUCUAUCUUCUACAAUCAUGCUUAAAAGCUCACAGCUCCUAAACCUCUUCAAUGCUAUGUAAACAGAUGAAUUAAAAUAAAAACACUGCUGGUGAUUAAUUAUGCCUGGAUUAACAAAAUGCCAGCCUUUGCUUAUUGUUCUGAGAGUAAGGAGGAGAGGAACCAGCACUGCCCUGCUAGAAGUGGCUCAGUCACUGCAAGCAGUCACUGCAAUCUGCAGAAGAGCAGAGGAAGAGGAGGCUGAGAAACUGCCAUUUUCUCUCUGACAGGAGGAAUGAUCAGAAGAGAUGACUGGAGGAAGGAAAAAGGGGGUGCUUCAUGAAG